GCCUUAAUUGGCCCGCGCACGUAAAAUGGUGGCGUGCAGCCGCUCGUGGGCAGCAAGUGUACUGAGUUCUUAGGACUGAAUGCAUGCUGUUGAUGGGCUCAAAAUGGUAUAUAUUGAGCGGGAGCUAAGUGGGAGAGGAUAAAAGGCACGGAUCAAGAGGUCUACCUGCAGUGAGGCCAGUGGCCGAAUGAUGCCACAAACCACAAUGUGAUGUGGGUCCAGGGAACACAGCUGAUUGGGACGCCAGGAACCUUCUUAAAAUGGCAGAAGACGUCAAAGCAAUUUCUGACAUCAAUUACACACAUUCCCAGGAGCCCCAACAGAAAAGAUUCUCUCAACUGGGACUUCAGCUCUGAGUUGUCUUCACUCUUUGCAGAGCCGGUUUGUCAAUUUUCUUUGCAGCCAGAAGCUCCUCAUUAGUCAGAGCAGCCGACCACUCAGAUGGUUAUCAUGGUGCCUUGAGUGGAAGACAGCCAAGUGAUGAAAUGACAGCAAGGAAAGCCUCAACCUCCGGCUCUGACAUCUCUUGGUAAGAUACCUCAAGACACCAUAACACUGACGCUGCAAUCUCCGGCCAAUACAACUGUUGGCCAGACGAUGCUGGAACAGGGAAGCCGCCAUGGACCGAAUGCAGCACACUUCGGAAGCAAACCAAUGAAAACGUUAUUGCACAGAAAACUAAAUUGCAAGGUGAGCCCAUUGAUAAGUCACACCCACACAUAAUGAAAAGUCAUCUUCCAUCCCAAUGUGCAACAUGGUGAACUGCAUGCAGAAUGAAAAACAGAAUGAGUGCUACAGGCGAGCUGUGCGUUCGUUCUCCCAGUAAGGAACUGGAUAAACCAAUGACCCUCAAUAGCACCAGAUGGAGAGUUAAGAAGGAGCGGUUCAACUCCAAGGAACGAGAAAAGAGAAUUAAGAUCAACCGUCCAAAUGCCACCACCGCCGUCUUCCUACCUGCCGCGAUUGCACAUAUAAAAAGCAUAAUGAUAUCAAAGCCUGCUGCUAGGAGCCAUGGGGGCGUCUUAGAUGCCAGCUGACUGCAUGGUGGUGGGGGUGAUGGACGAUUAAAGGGCGACCCAACUGAGCUGUGCGCUCCCACAUGAGCAGACAAGCACAGCUGAGAGAUGUGAGCUGUCUCUCAAUAACAUGCAGGGAAUCACCAAAGUGAAGCAAGGAUGCACAUUCAUGUGACACUAAUCACACAAAGUGGCAGUAAUCAAUUUCCUGUGUUUAACCUCUUGCUCGCAGCGUGGCAUGUCUCUAGAGCAAUAAUGAAGUUAAGUGCUACUGAGCAUCUAGAUAGGCUUUUGAAGUGCAUUGCAGUAAUGGCACUGGAUGGUUCCCAGAAGUCAAGCUUCAGGCUGCCCUCAACAUAUUGCACAGCUUGUUUAAAGAUUGAUGCUCAUGUAUAUUCCAAACACUGUAGUAUGAGGAUGCCAGCACCUGGGCUGAAAGCAGCACAUCCAGGUGCCUGGCCAAAGCAAUAUCAUAGCAGUUGCUCAUGAUUUUGGGGAGGGGGAGCGUCUUGGUACCAACCCUGCAUUGUAGAUCAUUUCUGUGGUGAUUAGUUGACAACACAGGAACCAGGGCCGUGAACCCACAAUCGCUUACGAGUCAUUGACAGAAAGAUUAGUAUUGCAUACAAGUCCUGACUCUUGUCUGUUUCUCAUUGAUACUGAAGAGAGAGGACCACAAGGAAGACGGAGCUUGGAUUUAUUGCUGCCUGCAUAAUUGCAGACUGGAAUGAGAGGAGAAUAUUGCGACAGAGAAGGCUGGCUCAACAAAGGGAGGAGUAAACCCCCUUAAGACCAAGACCCAGCAGGGCCUCCUCUAGAUGCAGAAGAUGUGGAGAAAAGAAAUGUUUUGUGUAGGCACUUUGCUAGAGCGAGUGUCACCUGUCUUAUCUGUAUGUAACUGAGAACCAGUGUCACCGACAUCUCAGCACGUCUAGGGACCUGGUAAAUCACAUUUGCCACAUUCUCCAUGAAUUGGUGCUAUGUGGACUCCGAGGACAUCCAUUGCCAGUGGCUGUGAAUGUAGUAGCCGCACUCAACUUCUACGCCACUGGCUCCUUCCAGGGCUUGACUGGGGACCUCUGAGUUCUCUCAGGCAUCCACACACAAAUGCAUAUGAGGUCACAGAUGCUAUUUUUGCUAAGGCCCACAACUAUCUCAACUUUGACAGAGAUCAAGCUUGCCAGGACGCCAGACCACUGGCCUUCAACAAUGAUUUCCAGGUGCAGGGUUCCAUUGACUGCACUCAUGUGGCUAUCAAAGCUCCCUGGCAGCAGGCACUACAAUACAUAAACAGGAAAGGCUUCCAAUCCUUCAAUGUACAGUUGGUGUAAGCCCAUAACAAGAAAAUCCUGCAGGUUUGCACCAGAUAUCCAUGAGGCAUCCACGAUUGCAGAUCCCGGAGGUCUUCAAAGAACCACACAGGAUCCAGGGCUGGCUCGCAAGAGCCAGGGUAUACAGGACCCAGGGUUGGCUCCUCGGGGACAAAGGAUACCCGCAAAGAACGUGGUUGAUGACGCCCAUGUGGCGGCCUCAGACUCCUGUAGAGAGAAGGUACAACAAGGCUCAUGCUGCUACCUAGACAUUGGUUGAGCACACCGUAGGAAUGCUGAAGAUGCAAUUCAGAUGCCUGGACAGAUCAGGUGGAGCAUUCCAGUACACUCCACGGAGGGUGUCACAGAUCAUCGCGGCUUUCUGUGCACUACAUUACCUGGCACUUUCCAUUUGACGAGAUGGAGGAGUUGUAUGUCUCCUCUGGUGAGGAGGACCUCGAAGGGGAUGACAGCAAUGAGUUUGAGGAAGCCACAGCACAGGUCAUAUGAGGCAGGCGUGCACAGGAUGACCUCAUAGCCACAAGAUUCCAGGAGGAGGAUGAUGAGAUGAAGUGAGCAUCCUCUUGGACAAGUGACCUACAUGAGGGGCCAAAAUGAACAGGAGCUUAGUGAUUCCUAUCUUUUCAACUGUGCAUUUCAAAAUGACAGUCAGUCAUUCCACAUCAGGCUCCCUUUGGCAUGAUCCUUUGAUGGUUGAUAAAGCCUUGGGAGCAUGCUUCCUUGCUGAGAUUAUGCACUAUCUGGAGGAGGGCGUGUUACAUCAAAGGUCCUAAGGUGCCAACUCUUCAAGCAUCUCUGCAGCAUCCCAGUCAUGAUAGCACCCUCAUGAUGCAGGAGCAGAUCCCCACUAUCGUGAGUGGGCUCAUAACUGGUAGCCUUCAAUCAGACUAUGCUCCUUGAGGUGAUCCACAUCCAACAAUGCAACUAUACAGUCUAAGUAAUGUCGAUGAUGCAACUGAUGGGUGAGACUUGGACCAAGUCAGCUGAGGAGAUUUGGCAGGUCUCAAUGCAUGUGCAGAUGAGUCAGUCCUCCCUGUCACCUUCUUCUCAAUCCCAUUGGCAUCUAGCCUCUCACUCAGGGAUGGUGGUCUGCAUUUUUUCUUACCUUACUAUGGAUGUGGACCAUUUGGGGAUGCUGACAUUCAAACAACUGCAUGCUAGCCAUUAACAUGCCUUCUCUUUAACACAGACAUUGUGCCCUCAUGGACAGCAUUGGCCUUGCUGAAUUGAAAAAUCUUUGACACCAUGAAGCCUUCAGGGUCACAUGUAGUUUCCAACAGAGUGUUAGGAACUAGAGGUAAUUUUAAGUCAGUUAUACCUGUAUUUGUGUGCAUUAGGAAUAAGAUAUAUCUUAAAGUUUAAGGUUAAUUUGUAUUUCUGUAUUUGUGUGUUAAGAAAGGGGGGAAACUUGAGUUUUGGUUUCACUUUAAAAGAUGCCUGCAUGCCAAUGAGUUUUUAUGACUCUUGAAGGGAAGUUAAAACACAAGGUAGAAAAAAACUGUGUUGUUGCCUAGCAACAUGGGUCCAGGGAGAGGAAUCCACAGAGAAAAACAGAAAAAUAGUUUCAGUUCAGUUGAAAGAUGUUGCCAAGAGGAGCAGCAAGUCCUAAACUAAAAAAGCCAAUGCCAGGGAGUGGAAUGGCAGAAAGGUCCCAAGAAGAUCUUCUAGUCAAAGGAAAAGAACAGGAAUCUGGAAAAGGUCCUAUUAAGUGAAGUUAAGAGUGAGGAGCGGCAGAAGGUUCCAAGCUUAAAGGGAAAAAGUUGCAAGACACAGACUUUAAGAAAAAAUAGAUUUGUGAGAUGCCAGAAGAUUCGAGGAGACAGCCAAAUGCUGGUGACUCCUUACUAUCGGCAUGUGAAGCAGUGGUGUUCUGUUGGCCCAUCUGAAUAUCUGAGAGUGAGUGCGUGGAAGGCAAAACUUGAAUGCACAUGGCAAUCCAGGGGAGACGAACAUUGGAAGGAGUGUUCAAAACUCUGGAGAUGUACCCUUGCGGAAGGGAGAAAGAGCAUCAUUUGAGGGAAGAUUCCAAAGUGGGUUCUUCUGAGAGUGGAGGAUGGAAACCCUCAGCUGAAAGAUGGAGCUCUGUGAGACCGAUUGGCUCACAGUGUGACAAACAUCUGGGGGGGAAGUUGAUGAGGAAUCUAUAGCAUCUGUUUGGGAUUUCAGUGUGGUGUGCCUGGCCACAGGGUGCCCAUUGGUUUAAAUGGACUGUGUACUUACUGUGAACGUGGGAGUAUAAGAUCGCUUUUGUAAUUUGUUAUAUCCUUUCAAAUCUGUAUAUAUCUGUAAAAGUGUGGGUGAAGGAGUAUUGUAAUAGAGUUCAUCUUUUCUUGUUUAAUAAAUGUUCUAUUAUUUUAUUAAAGUUCA